GAUAGCGUGCGAGCGGGUCCUAAGGCGCUGGAUUAAGGCUCCAGUCCUCUUCGGAGGCGUGGGGUUCGAAUCCCACCGCUGUCA